rnacentral:rRNA from 1 species
GACGAACGCUGGCGGCGUGCUUAACACAUGCAAGUCGAACGCUGAACCCGCUUCGGUGGGGGAUGAGUGGCGAACGGGUGAGUAACACGUGGGCAACCUGCCCCCGGCUCUGGGAUAACUCCAAGAAAUUGGGGCUAAUACCGGAUGUGACCGCUGGCCGCAUGGUCUGGUGGUGGAAAGGGUUUCCGGCUGGGGAUGGGCCCGCGGCCUAUCAGCUUGUUGGUGGGGUAGUGGCCUACCAAGGCGACGACGGGUAGCCGGCCUGAGAGGGUGACCGGCCACACUGGGACUGAGACACGGCCCAGACUCCUACGGGAGGCAGCAGUGGGGAAUAUUGCGCAAUGGGCGGAGGCCUGACGCAGCGACGCCGCGUGGGGGAUGACGGCCUUCGGGUUGUAAACCUCUUUCAGCAGGGACGAAGCGCAAGUGACGGUACCUGCAGAAGAAGCACCGGCCAACUACGUG